GAAAAAAAGAAAGCGAGGAGGUUGAACUACCUGCACAAAGAGGAAAUUCCAUACUGAAGACUAAGUUUUGAAGAACGCUUUAGGAAGGGAUCUCUUUGUAUCCAGUAUGGACAGGAGGGAUGAUUGCAAGUGUUACGCUCAGUCUAGAGGCCUAGACGUAACAUGAAACUACCCCCAUCUUCCCCAAGUCCCAAGGAGCCACAUAAACACAACUUGGACUAUUACACAAGAUCAAACAGUGGCCUGUUGGGAGAGGAGGAAGAUGCCAAGAUGCCCCAGCCAGCCGCUGCCAUCUUCUCUGCUUUUUGCCUACAGGAGCAGCCAAUCAUCCCCCACCAGCUGGAACCGCAGCCACCAAUCCCCCACCGAGCAGAGACAUAAGCCACCAAUCAUAAUGACGUUAUGGGACAGACUUAUUUACAUAAGAAACAGGACAGGAAUCAAUAAACACUGUACAUAUCCCAAAGUUUACAAAUUAUGACCACAGUCGUAACAGCAUGGAAGAAAAACCUUUAAAUGUACAUACAGACGUGUGAGUGUUGUAUUAAGAUAGACUUGGUAUUAAGAUAGACUUGGAAACGUGUGACCCUUUAACUAAACCAUGGGAUGGAUGAAAGUUCAUGAAGAUUGACAGGUGUUGGGACAGGAUCUUUAUCAAAAGAUGGGACUAACAAUAAGGUAGGAACUAAAUAAAGGCAGUCCAAAGCCUGAGUGCAUUCUUCACUCAUUAAAUUGCGCUUCCUGUCUAAAUGAAUGUGCAUGAUGAUGUGAAUGUUAACAGCCAAUCAGUCUGAAAACAUACAGUGAUGCUUUGCCUAGCAUCAGUUUUGUAGUUUGGAUUCAAACUCCAUCAUUGGAAAUUACAGGUUGCUUUCUAUGCCGAAUACUAUGAAAACAGCUUCUAUUCAGUGGAAAUAGUUCCCUAUCUGUUCCACAGCUGUGCCACUCUCUGCUUUAUUACAGUUAACUGUCUGACAGUA